AGCGCGUUCUGCGGGAGCCCCGGACGGGGCUGAGAGGGCUUGAGCGCCGACCGCCACACCUGAUGCGGGUCAUGCCGCCGUAGGAAAGGACAGCCGGUGGACA
rnacentral:ncRNA from 1 species